rnacentral:rRNA from 1 species
GACGAACGCUGGCGGCGUGCCUAAUACAUGCAAGUCGAACGCUUCUUUCCUCCCGAGUGCUUGCACUCAAUUGGAAAGAGGAGUGGCGGACGGGUGAGUAACACGUGGGUAACCUACCCAUCAGAGGGGGAUAACACUUGGAAACAGGUGCUAAUACCGCAUAACAGUUUAUGCCGCAUGGCAUAAGAGUGAAAGGCGCUUUCGGGUGUCGCUGAUGGAUGGACCCGCGGUGCAUUAGCUAGUUGGUGAGGUAACGGCUCACCAAGGCCACGAUGCAUAGCCCGACUGAGAGGGGUGUCGGGCACCCUGGGACUGAGGCACGGCCCCGGCCCCUACGGGAGGGCGCCGGAGGGAAUCUUCGGGCAUGGGCCGAAGUCUGGCCCGACCAAGCCGCGUGAGGUGAGGAGGUUUUUCGGUCGUAAAACCCUGUUUUUAGGGGAAAACCAGGACCUUAGUAACUGAACGUCCCCUGACGGUAUCUAACCAGAAAGCCACGGCUAACUACGUG